GACGAACGCUGGCGGCGUGCUUAACACAUGCAAGUCGAACGGAAAGGCCCUGCUUUUGUGGGGUGCUCGAGUGGCGAACGGGUGAGUAACACGUGAGUAACCUGCCCUUGACUUUGGGAUAACUUCAGGAAACUGGGGCUAAUACCGGAUAGGAGCUCCUGCUGCAUGGUGGGGGUUGGAAAGUUUCGGCGGUUGGGGAUGGACUCGCGGCUUAUCAGCUUGUUGGUGGGGUAGUGGCUUACCAAGGCUUUGACGGGUAGCCGGCCUGCGAGGGCGACCGGCAAAAUUGGGACUGGGAUACGGCCCAGACUCCUAGGGGAGGCAGCAGUGGGGAAUAUUGAACAAUGGGCGGAAGCCUGAUGAAGCAACGCCGCGUGCGGGAUGACGGCCUUCGGGUUGUAAACCGCUUUCGCCUGUGACGAAGCGUGAGUGACGGUAAUGGGUAAAGAAGCACCGGCUAACUACGUG
rnacentral:rRNA from 1 species